AGUGAACGCUGGCGGUAGGCCUAACACAUGCAAGUCGAACGGCAGCACAGGAGAGCUUGCUCUCUGGGUGGCGAGUGGCGGAAGGGUGAGGAAUACAUCGGAAUCUACUUUUUCGUGGGGGAUAACGUAGGGAAACUUACGCUAAUACCGCAUACGACCUACGGGUGAAAGCAGGGGAUCUUCGGACCUUGCGCGAUUGAAUGAGCCGAUGUCGGAGUAGCUAGUUGGCGGGGUAAAGGCCCACCAAGGCGACGAUCCGUAGCUGGUCUGAGAGGAUGAUCAGCCACACUGGAACUGAGACACUGUCCAGACUCCUACGGGGGGCAGCAGUGGGGAAUAUUGGACAAUGGGCGCAAGCCUGAUCCAGCCAUACCGCGUGGGUGAAGAAGGCCUUCGGGUUGUAAAGCCCUUUUGUUGGGAAAGAAAUCCAGCUGGUUAAUACCCGGUUGGGAUGACGGUACCCAAAGAAUAAGCACCGGCUAACUUCGUGCCAGCAGCCGCCGUAA
rnacentral:rRNA from 1 species